CAUGAGGUCCAAAGAGAGAACUUGUGGAAAAGGGUCGCAUGCGGAGCCCUCAACGCAUGGGGGCCACCUUCCAUAUUAUGCCCCCUUUUACUUGGAAGAUGCUCCUUCCAGCUUCUCCCUGCCCCUUCUCUUCUCUCCUUUUGCCUCAGGCACCAAAAGUUCUGUUGUCAAAAGAAUAGCUAAGUCUUUAGGGAGAGUUCAGAGCCAAUUGUUCCUCCCUGGGGCCACCACUACUGACCCAAGAUCACAGUUGAGAAGAAACUGAACUGGAGAGAGACCCAGAGGAAUGAAUUCCAAAUGGCAGCCUUUCAGACUCACGUCUACUUAGUACUAACAAUCGUUACAAUUAUAGUAACAUUUCCUGGCAUAUAUGAUGUGAUAUGCUCUGUGCCCCAUGUUUUGUACGCAUUAUCCCCUUUAAUUCUUACCACAAACUUAUAAGCUAGGUGUUUCAGCAUGUUCUUUUUACGGGUGAGGAAACUGAGGAUCUGUUGAGAAGGAGGCCAGGAAUAAAAUGUGUCCUUCAUUCAUGUGAUUCCAAGGUGACUUCAUAGAAGGGUGUAUGUAAGCGUGUCAGCAAGGUUGAAAGGAAGGCAAGGGCACAUGACAGAGAGACCUGGGAAAACAUUAUGAUGGAGGAGUCAUUUGAACAUGGCCUUCUGGAUUAGUUUGGGUCUCAACAGGCAGAGAUGAGAAGGGAAGAAAGCAUUAGAGGCUUGAAGGAACCACCAGGAGCCACGGCAGAGAAGCAUGGGGUUUGUUUUGGUGACACGGACGUGUUGGUAAUGCAUCACCGUAUGAGGUAGGUGCUACCUAUCAUUAUUUGCAUUUUACAGAGGAGGAAAAUGAGGUACAGAGAGGGUGAUUAAUUUGGCUGAGGUCACACAGCUAAGCGGUAGAGCUGGGAUUUGAACUGCCAUCUGUCUGACUCCAGAGCCUUUUCAGGGUGGAGAUCACAUAUGGGUCUCAAAUCAGUCAGCAACUAAGGGAAGGCUUUAGUAUUUGCAGCUUCUGGGAAGAUUCUAGGCCCAGCAGCCACCCAUGCCCAAAGCAGCAUACCAGUGCUCCUCCCCCCACCCCCAAAAUUUGUGGGGGCCAGGAGGGAGAGAAUAGUGGGAACAGGACAAUUUUCAGAUUCUCAGAUAACUGCAGUGAGGCUGUGCAUUUGCAGAGCACCUACAUUUUUCCUCCCUCCUUCCUGGGAUCAGGUUACUCUCUUGCAUUCUUUUACAUUUCAUAAUAACGGCUUGUUAACUACAUGCUGGAUCCUGAGAUGACAAUGAGGUCUGGAGUUGGUUUGGAAGCCUGCUGGAGGUCACGUAGCAUCGAGUGGUGGAUGGGGGUUUCAAUCCCAGCCUGAGCCAUUCACCAUGGCUUUGCUGCACCCCCCCCCCAUACCCCCUCGCCAUGCUUCUUUUGCUUCUCACAAUGGCCCAAGACAGGUCUUUGGGUUCAGUAAAUCUGACCUGCUUGCCAUGACUUGAGGUUGGUCAGCUAGCCCAGAGGCCAGAUCCUGACUCCUGGUCCAGUGCCCUCUCUGCUGCCCCCACCUCCCAAGUCUGUCCUGAGGCAGCAGGUGCUGAUGGACCCCAAGUGUCCACUGUACCUCCACAGUCAGGGUCUUGGCCUCACAUUUUUGUCCCCUGGGAGCUCUGCCCAGAGAGGGCAGGAAACCCAGGUCACUGGUGGAUCUGUUCAUGUGGGUUUUAGGAUCAAUGGAAUCCUGUCUCAUUUCACGUGUGAACAGAACCCCCCUUGGCCCUGGAGGGACAUUUGUAGAACUGGGGCAAUAUGCACAGAUGGACCAGGGAAUGAUUUUAAUGCACAUACUGAAAUCUCAUUUAGAGGAAGGUAAGGUAUGAGGGGCACCAGAGGGGAUUCCCCCUGCGAAUUUAGGGGAAUUUCCAAGGUGGCAGUGAGAGUGGGGGGAGGACAGAAGGGAGUGUGUACAUUCAUUCCUUCAUUCAGUUUUUCAUCUCUUCGCUCAGCACACACACCCUGAGCAAGCUGUGUUCUAUUCUGUGCCAGGCUGUGUUCAAGGCAUGAGAGGAACAGCAGGGAAGAAAACAGAUAAAAUGCUCGCCCUCACAGUGCCCUUAUUCUAUUGCUGAUAGUGGUGCGGUGGGGUAGGGUGAGCAAAUACAAUGAAUACAUAGUAAAUUAGGUGAUGGUGACAGUGACUUAACAAAUCAGGGAAGGGAGGAGGGGAGGGCUGGUGGAGUUGAAUCUGUCUGCAUACGGACCUUCAUUCUAGUUCUAGGUGGAGCAAGAAUCAGGUUGUUUUUGUUUUUGUUUUUCUAAACAAGCAGGUCAUUAUUCAGAAAACCCAGAUUUACCCUAUAUGGGUAAAAUGCAGGUAAGUCCAACACCUGGCAGGGGACUCUCAGAGCCAAGGAGGGACUUAAGGGUGAAAUUAUUCUCUGCUCCAUACAGGGCCAGUUCACGCAGAGCUGGGGACCCCAGGCUCACCCUUGACUGGUGGGUUGGGAACAGCACUGACCCGGGUGGUCAAGACCAGUAUGGAUGUGUGUUCUGCUGCCACAGGCUGCCCUUAAGAGACAGAGGGUGGGCGCUGUGGUUAUUCCCGUUUUGCUGGUGAAGACAGCGAAGCUUGGAGAGGUGAAGAAGCUAGGUUGUGCAGUUUGUGAGAGGAGGGGCCCGGAAGGGAGCCCUAGCAGGCUGAUGUCAAGCCCUCCCACAGCUAGUCAUUGUGCCACAUGGCCGCCACCAAGUGUGUUCCUUCGUGGAAGCGGGACCUUCAUGAACCUCAUGUGUUUCCCUGGCCUCAUAGUCAAAACACCUGGGGCUCAUCCCCAGCUCCUCCACAGGCUGGUGUGUGACUGGGGCUCUUUUACCUGUGUGAUGGCGACACUGCUUCAUUGACCGUUAGGUUUAGAGUCCCUCCUUUUGGACCAGGAUGCGUCGUGGUAAAUGCCUUGGCCAACAGAGUACAAUGGAAGUAAUACUAUGUGACUUCUGAGACUAGAUCAUGAAAGUGUCCGCCUGCCUCUUUCACUCAAUCUUGAGACAUGUGCCCCGGGGAGCCUUGUGUCAACAGGCCCUGUGGGGGAAGAAGGACCAUCAGAGGUUGGAGGAAGGUGACAUUCAAGCUGCUGAGCUAGAGUUUGAGGAUUGACACCUGGUUGCGGACAGAGAAAAGAUCGACACCUCCAUAGUGGUUGUUCACGGAAGAAGUGCUCUGAGAGAGACAGUAUUAUCCAGGAACAAUCUGUAGCUCUUCUGAUGUUUUGCUGAAGGACCUGGAGCCCCCUCUCUGGAGGAAUCUGAUCUGACUGCCUCCAGCUACUCAUGGGUGUACCCUAUCCUAUUGGUUGAAGCUUUGAUGGGAGUUCUGUUAGUGGGCUCUAUUUUUGUUGUUAUAGAAACCCAAUUCUAGAUGUCUUACCAGAAGGGGAGUCCAGGAUGGAGAGCAGAGGAGCGCUGUGACCCCAGACAAAGAGAGGAGUUCUGGGAAGCCACGGGAGCCUGCACAACUGCCAAAGAAUGGCUGACUCCAGAGCGACCGACGGAGGCCUGCUGGUUCUUAGACUCUCGUGGAUAGGAGCUGGCACAGAAGGGGAAUUUGACACAUGUUUAUUGAAUGAAUGGUCAGUGAGAAGUAUGAGUUCUGGGGAGGGAAUAUGCUACCUCUACAGGCAUGGAUCAAGCACCACCGAGAUCAUGAGUGAACACCAUGAAGAGUAAACACCAUGCGGAUCUCAUGUUUUCAGGACCCCAAGUGUCCAGUGACUAGAAUGAUACACACAAAGUAACAUGGCAAAGAUUCAGCAGAAGGAGAAACUGGGUACCACUGAGACACCCUCCCUGACCAGAAUCACUGUUGGUCACUGGUCACUGGUCACUUCCUCAGCCCACCUGUGGCUCUAAUUCCCACAGCAUCCUUCCCUUGGGGGGCUUUGGCCUCUGGGAAGAAAUGAAUGUAGCCCUUGAGAGAGCUCUGCAUUCUUGCACAGGUGAUCACCCCAUCCAAUUCAAUGUGAACUCAAGUAGAAAGGAUUGUGACCUUUCCAGAGGCCAGAAUCAUUGUUCUAGAACUGGAAGGGGCCACGGCAGUUCUUUGGCCUGGUUCUAAUCUUCUGUCUGAAGAAAUCAUUGUAGUGGGGUGCAACUAUUCUAACGCCUGGCCCCAGAAUUCUCUUCUGGAGGAGAACUGUCUUGAGACCCUGAGGGCGAAGUUGGCAAGAGACAAAAUGAUGAAGAGAGAACUGGUGUCUUGUGCAUAAAAAUAAAUAGGGACUUUGGGUGAGAGACUCUGAAGGAGAGGAAGUACAGGAGGAGGGGACUUCUCAGGGGGAAAUGAAACUUGAAACUUAUACUUGUGGAAAUUUUAAGAACAAGGAUGUCUAAUUUUUGGUUGCA